GGCAACCCGAAGGUACCACUGUGUGGCACACUGGGGACUGAAUACAGUAGGAAAAGCACAGCUGCAUUCAACUUUGGAGAGGUCCUGCUUUUGUGCAUGCUGACUCUUUGUCACGGUUUAACUGGCACACUUUGUGGAACUCGCAUCAAUAAUACACCUGUUCGCUCCUCGCUGUGGGAAGCCAAAAUGCCGGCCAUGAAAAACAUCUUGACGAAUUACAUCAGCAUCCGAAUAGAGUCAGCAGUGGAUCAUCCAUCACUCCUUUGUGGACAUGUCAGUGUGAAAAGCUGCCAGAAGGCUCUCCACUACACACCCCUCAUGUUUGGAGUAUAUUGUGGGUGUGUUUAUGGUGUACUCUGGUUAUUUUUUUCUAGUUUUUGUGGUUUUCUUAUUUUAGACCCAGACACAUAUGACAAAUCAGCUCCUUGAGUCCUCGUCUCCAACUUCAGAGCUCAGAGUCCCUGCUUCACAUCUCUGAUUGGAGUAACAUGUGUUAUCAUGCUGUCAUAUCACAGCCUUUUUCUGCAGUUCCAUGAAGUUUAAAAUAUAAAACAAACAUCAAAUACUUCUUUGUAAUUCCGUGGAAAGUUGCUCAUCCCAGGUGAUUUACAUAAAUUGUUACUGUUUCCCAUGCCGCCAGUGACGCUGAGAGCUCACUCCAAUUGUUCCAAUUGUUGGAUCUGUACAAGAUUUGUUGCUUAAAUUUUGUUCUUUUUCUUAUUGUGAAACUGUUUGAGAAACAAACUGAGGUGUACUAUCUGUGUUAUUGUGAGGUUGCAUGAAAAUACCAGGCAGUUUAGUGCAGGCUAAACUGAAUACUUUGCAGUACUGUGGUGAAUUUGCUCUAUAUUUUGUAAUGGCUAAUCCACCAGUAUGCAAGAACUCCAUAAUCAAAAUAAUAUUUCUAUGUAAAUGACCACAGCAGACCCAAUGACAUUUUACUGCUUUUCAGCAUCUUUUAUUGCACAUGGUUGCCGUUCAGAAACACACAUGGCUGCAGCUUUUCAGCCGCCACAUAUCAACAACAAGCACAGCUUUUUAUGCCAAAGAGGAGUGAUUGUAGAUGCCGUGCAGGUGAGUCCAUCUCACAGCAGCAUCGCAAACCACGCUCCGCCACAUUCUACUUCAAAAAUGAUCAAGGUGUGGUAACAGAUUGAGGACACAAUUGCAGGAUGCGAUAAACAAAGGCUGAACAUAAAGUUCAGUGUUUUUUUUUCAAGAAAAAGAACAGCACAGCUCCUGGGAUGACUCUACAAAGGGCGCUGGGAACUAUGACAAUUUGAACCUAAUCACAGAAAAACAUACAAGGGAAGUAAACUAAACAGGCUACACAGGAUGACUUGUUUCUGUUUCCAUUUUUUUGGUUUUUUUGGUUUUGCGAUCGUAUACUUCCUCCACGAAAUAAAUGCUAAAAACAUUUUUUGUGUGUGGUUUUAGACAAUGAAGUUUACUGACGGUAAAAAUUUGUGAUGUACAUCAGCUAGUACAACUUGCAAGCUCAGCCUUGAGGAGCAGAACGGAAAAAGGGUUCAAGAUGCUCAAGAUAUAUCCAGUUAUAUCGACAACUAUGAAUCUAAGCUAUGUGUUAGCCAGCUAACAACAUAGCUCUUUGUCUUGCACUGCUAUCAGCAGUGCAGUGGUGGUUAAACCAGAAGUAGCCAAUUGGAAGUACUCAGCCAUACACUCGGAUUCCAGAGCCUGACAGGCACCAUCUUGU